rnacentral:rRNA from 1 species
GAUGAACGCUGGCGGCGUGCUUGAUACAUGCAAGUCGAACGGAGAGUGUAGCAAUAUACUCUUAGUGGCGAACGGGUGAGUAACGCGUUGGUGACCUGCCCCGAAGCGAGGGAUAACAGUUCGAAAGAACUGCUAAUACCUCAUGUGAUCACCGGUUUUAGAAUCUGGUGAUUAAAGGUGAAAAUCACUUCGGGAGGGGCCUGCGUCCCAUCAGCUAGUUGGUAGGGUAAUGGCUUACCAAGGCGAUGACGGGUAGGGGACCUGAGAGGGUGGCCCCCACAAGUGGAACUGAAACACGGUCCAUACACCUACGGGUGGCAGCAGUAGGGAAUAUUGCAAAUGGGCGAAAGCCUGAUGUAGCAACGCCGCGUGUGCGAUGAAGGUCUUCGGAUUGUAAAGCACUUUUUGGAGGGAUGAGGAAGGACAGUACCUCCAGAAUAAGCCUCGGCUAACUACGUG